GUGGGGAAUAUUGGACAAUGGGGGGAACCCUGAUCCAGCCAUGCCGCGUGUGUGAAGAAGGCCUUUUGGUUGUAAAGCACUUUAAGCGAGGAGGAGGCUACCGAGAUUAAUACUCUUGGAUAGUGGACGUUACUCGCAGAAUAAGCACCGGCUAACUCUGUGCCAGCAGCCGCGGUAAUACAGAGGGUGCAAGCGUUAAUCGGAUUUACUGGGCGUAAAGCGCGCGUAGGUGGCCAAUUAAGUCAAAUGUGAAAUCCCCGAGCUUAACUUGGGAAUUGCAUUCGAUACUGGUUGGCUAGAGUAUGAGAGAGGAUGGUAGAAUUCCAGGUGUAGCGGUGAAAUGCGUAGAGAUCUGGAGGAAUACCGAUGGCGAAGGCAGCCAUCUGGCCUAAUACUGACACUGAGGUGCGAAAGCAUGGGGAGCAAACAGGAUUAGAAACCCCGGUAGUCC
rnacentral:rRNA from 1 species